rnacentral:piRNA from 1 species
UAUGGAGUUGAUUUGCAUAUCAGGGUCAGU